AACGGUCCAGCAACCCAAAAUUGACUGGGAGACGACGGCCUAGACCUCUCACGAACUCGCCACAGCACCCUCCAUGCGCCUCAUCCUGCAGUACCUGUUCUUGACCUGUGGGGGGGUGUGAGACAGCAAGAGUGAGCUCACAUACAUUCAUCGCUCAACAAGUUGUGGGGAAUAAUGUGCAUGAACUCGCCAAAGAUGGGAGCUCACGUGAAGUGUAAGGCUUACCAAAGAGGAUGGUUAGAGCUGAGCAUUGCUUUUAAAGUUGGUCAAAAUUUUAUUAGCAAUUACUAAGUAUUAGUAAAUACCAACCCAAUUAAAUAGUAGUACAGAAGUAACAACAUCUCCUGCGAUGCAAUGCAUAUGACAAAUUGAAUUUAAGUUACAUAAAUUAAUCAUGUGAAGGUCCGAGCUGCUCAUGACCGUGAGCACGGCUAGUAUACCAGUUUUACACUCUGUAGAGGUUGCGCAUCUUUACCCACAAGUCAUGUUACCCAUCUGCCAAGGGAUCGCGACUUCCCAUACACCUCUACCGAGGAGGCGAGGCAGGGUAACACUAUGAGGCCUUUACAAAGUUCCACUAGCUUCAGAAAACUCGCUACAGUUUAUAGGAAGCUCCAAUGCAGGGUUCUUGCCUGACCGCCAUCGCAGCAAAAUCAACCAAGGACCUCCCUACACUGACCACUCCCCUACUGCCCUUGCCCCUUUCAGGUAAGGAAGUCAUCCACUAGCUUUCCUAGUUAAUCAGCCAAGGGCGUCCCAUUAUACCCUUGUGGUAGCACUGUUUUCCCGGGUGGUCGCUCCAUGUUCCCAUUAACAUAAUGAUCUUAACAUGAACAUUAAUAAUAAAAAGAUAAUAAAAGUGUAGUGAUUAAUAGUGUAUCUCCAUACCCAAAACCACAAUAAGCGAUAGCAAGUACUACCCGAAAAUAUUCAGUGGCAAAACAAGGUAUAAAGAUAGCCAAAACUGGGGUAACCUAUUGGGUCCCAUCAAAAUUAACCUAUGCAGAUCAUUAUAAUUAAUAAGAACAUGGCUGGGAAAAAGUAAGUGAUCAAGGGCACAACUUGCCUGGCACUUGAGAUUCCAAGUAAAACUUGCUUUUCAGAUGACACGUGUCCUCGCGCUAGUCGUAGCAAUAUAAACAAACAUGAUAUAGAUAAAAUUAACAUCACACCAAACAUAAGUACAAACUGAAUAAUAAUGAUCUACGCGUUGCUACGAGAUCGCGGGAUCGAGAACCACUAAAAUCGGGGUUACGGUUGAGGAGUUAUGAUUUUAUAAACGAUUUAUGUGAUUAAAACAUUAAGCUACAUUAUAAAUUGGUUAGUAUAAAUCAUAUGAGAUAAUAUCUUAUAAAUAAUUAACUCACUUUGAUCUAAGUUAUAAAUGGACCAUAUAUCAUAUUUUAAUAGAUUAUAAUGAUAAGCAGAUUAACAAGAGUAUCCAACAUCAGUUAAAUAUAGAUCUAAUUAUAAAAUAAUGAGAUUUGGUAUAAUAAAUGUUUUUAAUGCGUAGUAAAUUCUUAUACGAAACUAACGCAACUAAAACGAGUCAAUUCAGAAUUAAAACCAAAGAGUUAUGAAUUUCUAAAGGUUUUAUGCGUUUGGUACAAGAUUAAUUGCGAUAUAAAUUUUAAUGUGACUUUCAUGUCAAAACAGAGACACUAGGUGAUAAACAAUAAUAUUAUAAAAUUAUAGAAAUUGGAAUGACUCAAUUUGGAAUUAGUAUGAAUUUUCUAUGAUUUAUACAAGUUCUAGCAAUUAUUUUUGUAUUAAAAUCAAUUUCUAAAUUAAAUAACUGAAUUCUCAGAGUUGUGGACUGGGCGCAUGAAUUCUGGAAAGCGCAGGGGCUCAAGCGUAAGUUUCCAGAGACUCAAUCUACUCCCGCAGUGGACCACGGGUUGAAUAAAUGGUAGGACAGGGGCUCUUUUACAAAUAAGCACGGUGAAGGGGGUAUUCUUAGUUCUCGGCCGUUCGAUCUGAAACUGGCAGUCCAGAUUAGAUCUAAUCUCUCCCGAACCGGUACCAAAUAGUGGCCGCCCGAUCACGAUCCUACGGCUAAGACCCAACGCAUCCCCUGAUCUAAUGUAAGCCGCGCGAUCCCAGAUCCACGCCCUAGACUUAAAACGCCGAGCUGCUUCGUUGACCCAAUCUUAGCCGUCCGCGCUAGGAUCUACGGCACACAAUACAUUCCCCAUAUCAAAUCCUGGCCAUAGAUCCCAUGAUCAACGCCCCCAGAAUCAUCAUCCUCCCUGUGGCUAGCAGGCAGUGAACGACGGCCCCGCAUGGUGGAGUAGCACGCCGGAGUUACCCCGCCUAGCGCAAUGACUAGUGUUGAUAUACUACGCGGAGGUGACUGCGAGUUCACUAGGGAAGGACUCACCUGCGGUUAGGAGCGAAGCCUGGCGUAGUGCAGUCCAUGGCAGUGCAUGUGUCCCCCGCGAGCCAUCACCUCACAACCACGAUCACACAACUCCAGUCUCCAUGACCCCGUGAUCAGCACACGCUAGCAACCCUCCUCGACUAAACUUUGAGGGCUCGGCGAGGGCGAUGAUCGAUCUCUCUCUGUUCCCUUACGCCCGCACUCGACGGUGGCCAUGGCUGUCCUUUCUCACGGCGGCGACGCGCUCUCCCAUCUCUCCCUCUACGUGUUUCUCG
rnacentral:lncRNA from 1 species